GACGAACGCUGGCGGCGUGCCUAAUACAUGCAAGUAGAACGCUGAAGGAGGAGCUUGCUUCUCUGGAUGAGUUGCGAAAGGGUGAGUAACGCGUAGGUAACCUGCCUGGUAGCGGGGGAUAACUAUUGGAAACGAUAGCUAAUACCGCAUAAGAGUAGAUGUCGCAUGACAUUUGCUUAAAAGGUGCAAUUUCAUCACUACCAGAUGGACCUGCGUUGUAUUAGCUAGUUGGUGAGGUAACGGCUGACCAAGGCAACGAUACAUAGCCGACCUGGGAAGGGGAUCGGCCAAACUGGGACUGAGACACGGCCCAGACUCCUACGGGAGGCAGCAGUAGGGAAUCUUCGGCAAUGGACGGAAGUCUGACCGAGCAACGCCGCGUGAGUGAAGAAGGUUUUCGGAUCGUAAAGCUCUGUUGUAAGAGAAGAACGAGUGUGAGAGUGGAAAGUUCACACUGUGACGGUAUCUUACCAGAAAGGGACGGCUAACUACGUG
rnacentral:rRNA from 1 species